UGAAGCGGCUGAAUGUGUCUUCACCAUUGCAACACAGACUUUGUUGCAAAAUUAUUUUAUUUUUGCAACACGAGUCUUGUUGCAGCAGCUGUUUUGUCGCAAUUUUUUAUCUUUUACGUGAGUUUGUUUUGCAAUUUUUGCAACUAAGGUCUUGUUGCAGAAAAAUUUCCGCAACAGAGAUUUUGUUGCAAAACAUAAACUGUCAUAGUCCAUUGCAACACCGCGUCUGUUUCAGAAACAUAGCACUUGUUGCAGAAGCGUGUUCGACGAAGGAUGGUAUGCUUGCCCUCAAUUGGACACGUGUCACACAGGGAAGGUGGCGGACGCGGCCACUGCGAUCCGCUGGGUGAUGGUUUGGAUUUUUUUUCAUCAACCCGCAAGGCCCGUCUAGUUGUGAGCUAUGAUGAAUUUGUUAAGCGUUGGAGGAGAACAUUGCACAUCCGAGCUACACUGAAUGUAGUGAGGCAACCAUGAAUUGGGUAUUUCACAUGAGGGAGGGGAGAGGAGAGGAACAUUAUCAUUUUCAUGCUUUCGAUGAUAAUUUCAAUUCAUAGUUUCUCUACAACACACGAGCGGUACUGGUGGGCUCAGGAUGAAUGUGGUGCCGACAGAAUCACUAGGCACUGGAUGGGGAGGCAGUUGUCACCCUUGUCCCUCGCUUGCUCCCUGAGAAUACGAGUUCAUAGGGUCGUGAGUUGCUGCGGAUUUGUUUUUAUCACUUUUACAGUAUUUUUUAAUCUCA